rnacentral:rRNA from 1 species
ACACUAUAGAAUACUCAAGCUAUGCAUCCAACGCGUUGGGAGCUCUCCCAUAUGGUCGACCUGCAGGCGGCCGCGAAUUCACUAGUGAUUGGGAUCGCCCUUAGAGUUUGAUCCUGGCUCAGGACGAACGCUGGCGGCGUGCCUAAUACAUGCAAGUCGAGCGGACCUUGGCGAUCUUCGGAUCGCUCUGGGUUAGCGGCGGACGGGUGAGUAACACGUAGGCAACCUGCCCUCAAGACUGGGAUAACUACCGGAAACGGUAGCUAAUACCGGAUAAUUCAUGCUGCUGCAUGGCGGUGUGAUGAAAGACGGAGCAAUCUGUCACUUGAGGAUGGGCCUGCGGCGCAUUAGCUAGUUGGUGGGGUAACGGCCUACCAAGGCGACGAUGCGUAGCCGACCUGAGAGGGUGAUCGGCCACACUGGGACUGAGACACGGCCCAGACUCCUACGGGAGGCAGCAGUAGGGAAUCUUCCGCAAUGGGCGAAAGCCUGACGGAGCAACGCCGCGUGAGUGAUGAAGGUUUUCGGAUCGUAAAGCUCUGUUGCCAGGGAAGAACGUCUCUUGGAGUAACUGCCAAGAGAGUGACGGUACCUGAGAAGAAAGCCCCGGCUAACUACGUGCCAGCAGCCGCGGUAAUACGUAGGGGGCAAGCGUUGUCCGGAAUUAUUGGGCGUAAAGCGCGCGCAGGCGGCUGUUUAAGUCUGGUGUUUAAGCCCGGGGCUCAACCCCGGUUCGCACUGGAAACUGGAUAGCUUGAGUGCAGAAGAGGAGAGUGGAAUUCCACGUGUAGCGGUGAAAUGCGUAGAGAUGUGGAGGAACACCAGUGGCGAAGCGACUCUCUGGGCUGUAACUGACGCUGAGGCGCGAAAGCGUGGGGAGCAAACAGGAUUAGAUACCCUUGGUAGUCCCACGCCGUAAACGAUGAGUGCUAGGUGUUAGGGGUUUCGAUACCCUUGGUGCCGAAGUUAACACAUUAAGCACUCCGCCUGGGGAGUACGGUCGCAAGACUGAAACUCAAAGGAAUUGACGGGGACCCGCACAAGCAGUGGAGUAUGUGGUUUAAUUCGAAGCAACGCGAAGAACCUUACCAGGUCUUGACAUCCCUCUGACCGGUCUAGAGAUAGAUCUUUCCUUCGGGACAGAGGAGACAGGUGGUGCAUGGUUGUCGUCAGCUCGUGUCGUGAGAUGUUGGGUUAAGUCCCGCAACGAGCGCAACCCUUGAUCUUAGUUGCCAGCAUGUGAUGGUGGGCACUCUAAGGUGACUGCUGGUGACAAACCGGAGGAAGGUGGGGAUGACGUCAAAUCAUCAUGCCCCUUAUGACCUGGGCUACACACGUACUACAAUGGCCGGUACAACGGGAAGCGAAGUCGCGAGAUGGAGCGAAUCCUCAAAAGCCGGUCUCAGUUCGGAUUGCAGGCUGCAACUCGCCUGCAUGAAGUCGGAAUUGCUAGUAAUCGCGGAUCAGCAUGCCGCGGUGAAUACGUUCCCGGGUCUUGUACACACCGCCCGUCACACCACGAGAGUUUACAACACCCGAAGUCGGUGGGGUAACCGCAAGGGGCCAGCCGCCGAAGGUGGGGUAGAUGAUUGGGGUGAAGUCGUAACAAGGUAGCCGUAAAGGGCGAUCCAAUCGAAUUCCCGCGGCCGCCAUGGCGGCCGGGAGCAUGCGACGUCGGGCCCAAUUCGCC